AGUCUGUUGUGCCAGUCCGUAGUAUUUUGUUGUGGUAGUCUGGGAUGACUAAGACAUGUAUUAUAUGUUCUUCAGAAUGCCGAAAACUUCUAUCUAAUGUGGCCCUUAAUACUGCUAGAAAAAUGUACCUAAUGCAACUUUUUGAGGAAUGUUAUGGGCAUUCUGAAGAUCUCAUGAGUAAUUGAGGAAGGUUUUAUUCACUUGUGUUCCAAUACUUAUCAUUUUUGCCCACAUACAUAAUUUCAUUAUAUGGCAAUAGGUCAAAAGGUGGAGUGUUGAAAUGAUGCCAAAUUGAGAUUGAUCUCACAGGGCUUUUCUUUAAAAGAAUAUACAUGUAGCAUUGUAUGGAAACUCUUGGGAAAACCCAUUUCAACAUGAAUUACUAGCAUUCUACAAAUUUUUCAGGGCCAAAAUUGCCCAAAGUUACCUAGAUUAAUAAAGAAAUUGAUAACAGCAACUUGUCAUAAAAGAGUGAUAUUUAAUGAAUAUAUAGAGAUAAUGGAAGAAAUACAUUAAAAUUAUUUUCUUAUAACUUUUCUCAUACCUUGAUUCUACCACCACGAAGGAACCGAAUGUUUCAGGAUACCCUUCAAACAAUCUCGCACACGUCGAAGGUGUCCUGGACAUCUUAUGUCCUCUUGCUGGCCCAAAGGAUAGUCAAGAGAGGUUUCAAGUAUCCCGAAUGUUUGGUCUAAGUUUUAAAAUUGAAAUUGAAAGAAAUAAUUUCAAGCCAACUAACGAUCUCCCUUUCGAGCAUUUGGAGGAAGCUGAGCAGUGGGUUGAAGUGGAAGCCUGUGGAACACCAAUGUUUGGGUGAGCAAAGGAAGCAAUGAGGGAGACUGAGGAGCAAAUGUGAGAGCCGGAGAGGAAUCAGAAGCGUCUUGAGCCAAGAUAGUAGAAAAUUUGCAGAAACAAGGAGUCGUCAAUAGUGUUGAAUGCAGCAGAGCGUUCCAUGAAGGUAGGGACUGAAAAAAGAUCCUUGAGAUGGCAUGGUGGAGGUCUUCCGGGU
rnacentral:lncRNA from 1 species